rnacentral:rRNA from 1 species
AAGGUAGCCUCUAUUUAUAAGCUUCCGCUUCAGGAGGGGCCUUGGGCCUAUCAGCUAGUUGGCGGGGUAACAGCCCACCAAGGCUGGGACGGGUAGCCGGUCUGAGAGGAUGGUCGGCCACACUGGGACUGAGACACUGCCCAGACUCCUACGGGAGGCUGCAGUCGAGGAUCUUCUGCAAUGGGCGCAAGCCUGACAGAGCGACGCCGCGUGGGGGAGGAAGGCCUUCGGGUUGUAAACCCCUGUUGCUGGUUAAGAAUGCUAGGGUGCAAAUAGCGCUUCUAGUUGACAAAGGCCGGUGAGGAAGCCACGGCUAACUACGUGCCAGCAGCCGCGGUAAGACGUAGGUGGCAAGCGUUGUUCGGAAUCACUGGGCAUAAAGCGCGCGUAGGCGGCUUUCUAAGUCGGGUGUGAAAUCCCUCGGCUCAACCGAGGAACUGCGCCUGAUACUGGAAGGCUUGAGGGCCGGAGGGGAGAGUGGAAUUCCCGGUGGAGCGGUGAAAUGCGUAGAGAUCGGGAAGAACGCCGGCGGCGAAAGCGACUCUCUGGUCGGUACCUGACGCUGAGGCGCGAAAGCUAGGGGAGCAAACGGGAUUAGAUACCCCGGUAGUCCUAGCCGUAAACGAUGGGUGCUAGGUAGUGGUCGUUCCUAUGCGGUCACUGCUGGAGCAAAUGUCUUAAGCACCCCGCCUGGGAAGUACGGUCGCAAGACUAAAACUCAAAGGAAUUGACGGGGGCUCACACAAGCGGUGG